CCCAGUCGUUUUGCUGAACAACAAAACCAGCUCAGCUCCUGGUAAAAAUUUGUUCCAUCAAAUUGAGUUCUUCUUCAAACCCUACCGUUGUUUGUUUUUAUAGCUGAGUUUUUGAGUUUUUUUGUUUCCUCUCCCGUUUUAAGUGACCGUUUAGAUGGCGGGAAGAAACCGAGUUCCUCAUGAAGUUUUUGGCCACCGACGCGGCUAUCCACCAGAGGAGCAUAUCCCUCGAGGCCCUUUAAUCCGGCCUAUACCUCCUCAUCCUGCUCUGUUAGAGGAAGAACUUGAAAUUCGACAUGUUGAGCUUCGGAGGCUUCUAGAUGAAAAUCGGAGACUGGUUGAGGACAGAAUUGCUUUGGAACGAGAUUUAAAUUCUGCGAGGGAAGAGUUCCGUCGCAUGAAUCUAGGCAUUAAUGAUAUGCGUGCUGAACAAGACCUCCAAUCUAGGGAGCUUAUCGAAAGGGUUCUGAAGUUGGAUGCUGACCUUCGGGCUACUGAGCCUUUAAAAAUUGAGGCUGCAAAACUUCGUGAUGAGAUUCAUAGACUGAAUGCCAUUAGGCAGGAUCUAACAGGGCAAAUUCAGGGUCUCUCUCAAGAACUUGCUAAGUUUCGGGCUGAAAACCAGAAAAUUCCUGGUUUAAAGAAUGAGAUUGACGGACUGCAUCAGGAACUUGUGCGAGCUAGAACUGCUGUCGAUUUUGAAAAGAAUGCACAUAUUGAGCUGAUGGAACAGAGGCAGGCAAUGGAGAAGAACAUGGUCGGCAUGGCUCGUGAAGUUGAGAAGCUGCGUGCUGAGCUUGCAAAUGCUAGAGCAUGGAAUGCAGGUGGGGCCUAUGGAAUGAAGUACAAAAACCCUGAUGCCAAUUUUCCUGCCCCUUAUGACGACGCAUAUGGGGUUCGCCAGGGUCCUUCAUAUGGUUCCAGUUCUGCUUCCUGGGGAGGCCAUGAAAAACCAAGGAUGAAUCGCCGUUGAUGAUAUGUGGAGGAUUAUGUGUAAGAGCGUCCCUUGCAAGCAUUGUUGCUGCCCAAUAGAGUACAGGGCAAAAAACUGACUUUAUGAGGAGUCAUUGCUGCUUCUACAAAAAACUCUCCAGGAUGUGUGGUAAGUGUAUCAGGUAAAGUAGUUCUCUCCUCGUUCUAAAAUUUAGGUCUGCAAAUGUUCUAUGAUUCAGAAAUCAGUUUUGAGUUUGGUACUCAGGUAAAUAACCCUCACAUCAUUUUUAAAAAAUAGCUUUAAGUGCGUCGUUUAUUAUUACUCAAGGGGCUGGAUCAUGUUCCAUAGUUUAAGUUUGCUGGGGAAUGCUUCGGAAGGCAGGUUUAAGGCAAGUAAACAGCGUAAUAAUCUUAAUACUGUACGGCAGUUUAUUAUACAAAUUCUGGAACUCACGAAUAUAGUAGUGAAAUAAAUUAUAGCCUUUUUCUAUGAAGUGCACUCGAUCGAAUUAUAUUUCUUCAGUCGUCAAAGUUUUUUCUUCUGUUCUCUCUUUUAUUGUGAUUUCUUUUAUUACUGAUCAAGGUUUUGUGCUUUUCUUUAACGUGCCGCUUCUAGCCGUCUAAUCUAUUCAAUACUCAUACUAGCCUUAAGCUCUGUCCAAAUUAACAUUUUGCUAUUCCUCUCGAAUAUUUGGAGUCUUCAUGGAUCAGUAUCUUGCUUGAACAGUAGCAGUUUUCUUGGAUUGUCUCAAUAUCUAAAUGAUGAUAUCUUGUUAUUUUCUUCUUUUUUUCAUUUUUUGUUUCUGAAACAUGAUUGAUCGUUUGAUCAUACUUUCUGACCGCGAUCACAGAACUAGAUUAGCGACGCUCUUGCCCUUCUGGGUAGAGAAGCUUUUCGGUCAGUAUACGUAGCCACUAGAUUUGCUUAUGUAAGAAUAAAAUUAUCUGUAUGUUUGUGGGGAUGGUUUCUCUGUUUUGAUAUGAUUUAUAUUGUUCUCAA